CUGUUACUUUCUUUUCGAUCCCCAUAGUCCACUCAUCAGGAUCAGGUUCCAAAGAAGUAGGAGUUGCUGUAUUGUGUUUUUCUGCAGAGCAAUCAUCCGGGUCAGGUUCUUCACUUAAUUUAGCUUCCAUAGGAGGCGGAAGACUUCUCAUCUUAUUAUCAUCAGAAUCAAGGUCCAUACGAGGCUCAUCUUUCACAGGAGAGCCAGUCUCGCAAUCAUCAGGAUCAGGUUCUGAUUUUCUUUGAUCAUCAGAUGGGACAUCAACACUAGCUACCUUCACACCAUUCAGUUGGUUUUCCACUAGAACAUCUACAUGAUUGGAUUGCACUGAGUCACCAGCAUUAGAGGCCUGACGCAUUACAGUUGCUUCUGAGGGGUUGGUGGAUGCCUGUGCUAAACGGCUGUAGGCAGCAACCACUGAAGAUGCUCGAGCAUUGAAAACUGAAGUUUGUCCUCCAAGUUUAUGUGAUAACCCAAUUAUAUUAUCGCUGUCCUCAUCUUCUUCAUAGUGU
rnacentral:misc_RNA from 1 species